rnacentral:rRNA from 1 species
UACGAAGGGGGCUAGCGUUGUUCGGAAUUACUGGGCGUAAAGCGCGCGCAGGCGGUCUUCCAAGUCAGUGGUGAAAGCCCGGAGCUCAACUCCGGAACUGCCAUUGAAACUGUUGGACUUGAGUACGAGAGAGGUGAGUGGAACUGCGAGUGUAGAGGUGAAAUUCGUAGAUAUUCGCAAGAACACCAGUGGCGAAGGCGGCUCACUGGCCCGAUACUGACGCUGAGGCACGAAAGCGUGGGGAGCAAACAGG